rnacentral:rRNA from 1 species
UACGAAGGGGGGCUAGCGUUGCUCGGAAUGACUGGGCGUAAAGGGCGCGUAGGCGGUUUGUACAGUCAGAUGUGAAAUUCCUGGGCUCAACCUGGGGGCUGCAUUUGAUACGUGCGGACUUGAGUGAGGAAGAGGGUCGUGGAAUUCCCAGUGUAGAGGUGAAAUUCGUAGAUAUUGGGAAGAACACCAGUGGCGAAGGCGACACACUGGCCCAUUACUGACGCUGAGGCUCGAAAGCGUGGGGAGCAAACAGG